UUUCUAUUAUUGGGUUUAUUUUGUUGGUUUUGGGCCCUGAUUAGGCUGAGUCAUGAAGAGGCCUUAGCUCCUUCUACAGCACCUGAGGGUCCGUUAAGCUAUGCUUUUUCCUCUUUCCUUUUGUUUGUGCUCUCCCUCUAUGCAUUUGGAUGAACAAAGAGCCAUCAAUUUGGGCAUGUGAGGGAGACUAUUAUCAAAGCCAAAAAAAAAAAAAGAAUAGAAAUUGACAUGAGGAUAAGAAGAGGGCAAUAAUCACUCACACACAACACCCAUUUUCUGUUUUAGUGGUUUUUGGUUCAUAUUGAACCAAACAAUAUAGAUUCUCUGUUGCUUAAUCCCGCCAAAUAACAUGGGAAACCAUCACUCUCGAGGUCCAGAGCAGCACACCAUCAACAAUAUCAAGGCCAUGACCUAGGAAACCAUCAUUCUCGAGCUCCAGAGCAGCACACCAUCAACAAUAUCAAGGCUGUGAUCAAG